CUAAUGAUCUUUUCUAAUUAGAAAAGCAGUGGACAUUUUCAUCUGUAUGCCUCAUUCAGCAAGUCCAAGCCUGAGGUCAUCAUUGGUCUCACCCAAAACCUGCUUAUCUUAGAGAAUGGCUUAGCCUCAGUGCAGGAGAACUCUUCCUCAACUCUUCUCCAUCCUGAUGCUUCGGUUUCUGCUUCUGUGUUUUCACAUUGUGUUGCCUCAGUUGUGUGGCCACUGUCAUUUCCCAGUUGUGUUGCCACAGUCAUUGUGUUGCCACUGUCAUCUCCCACCCAGAAUACUAGCACAGCUUUUAGCUCAUCUACCUGACUCCAUCUUUCCUUCUCCAUUUCUCUUCUCCUCCCUUACCUGACACUGUUUUAAAAAUAUGUUCUUUCUAAGGGCCAGGUACAGUGGCUUAUGCCUAUAAUCCCAGCAUUUUAGGAAGCCAAGGUGGGAGAAUCACUUGAGCUCAGAGUUUGAGACCAGCCUGGGCAACAUAGUGAGAUCCUGUCUCCACAAAAAUAAAAAUUAAAAAAUCAGUUGGGCAUGAUGGUACACACCUGUAGUUCUAGCUACUUGAGAGGCUCAGGUGGGAGGAUACCUUGAGCCCAGGAGGUCGAAGCUGCUGUGAGCCAUCAUUAUUAUGCCUCUAUACUCCAGACAGAGUGAGACCCCAUCUCAAAAAAUGAGAAUAAUAAAUUUUAAAAAGUUCUUUCUAAAGAACUUAUUUGAUCAUAUCACCUGCUUGUUUAAAAUUCUACAAGAUUGAAACUAGACUCCUUCCUUACACCAUAUACAAAAGUUAACUCAAGAUGGAUUAAAAACUUAAAUGUAGGCUGGGUGCGGUGGCUCACGCCUGUAAUCCCAGCACUCUGGGAGGCCGAGGCGGGUGGAUCACGAGGUCAAGAGAUCGAGACCAUCCUGGUCAACAUGGUGAAACCCCGUCUCUACUAAAAAUACAAAAAGUUAGCUGGGCAUGGUGGCGCGUGCCUGUAAUUCCAGCUACUCAGGAGGCUGAGGCAGGAGAAUUGCCUGAACCCAGGAGGUGGAGGUUGUAGUGAGCCGAGAUCGUGCCAUUGCACUCCAGCCUGGGUAACAAGAGCAAAACUCCAUCUCAAAAAAAAAAAAAAAAAAAAAAAAAAAAACUUAAAUGUAAAACCUAAGGCUAUAAAAACUGUUGAAGAAAACCGAGGAAAUACCAUUCUGGACAUAGGGCCCAGCAAAGAUUUCAUGACAAAGACACAAAAGCAAUUACAACAAAAACAAAAAUUGACAAAUGAGACUUAAUUAAACUAAAGAAAUUUUACACAGCAAAAUAAACUAUCAAGAGUAAACAGACAACCCAUAGAAUGAGAGAAAUAUUUGCAAACUCUGCACUGACAAAGGUGUAACAUCCAGAAUCUAUAAGGAACAAGCAAAAAAUGAACAACCUCAUUAAAAAGUAAGCCAAGGACAUGAACGGACACUUCAAAAGAAAACAUACAUGCAACCGACAAAUGUGAAGAGUGCUCAACAUCACUAAUCAUUCAAAAAAUGCAAAUCAAAACCGCAUGAGAGACGAUCUUAUGACAGUUAGAAUGGUUAUUACUUUAAAAAAUUUAAUAGAAUGGCUAUUAUUCAAAAAAUAACAUGCUGGUAAGGUUGCAGAGAACAGGGAAUGCAUAUACCCUGUUGGUGGCAGUGUAAAUUAGUUCAGCUACUGUAGAAAGCAGUUUGGUGAUUUCUCAAAGAACUUAAAACCGAGCUACCAUUUGACCCAGCAGUCCCAUUAUUGGGUAUAUACCCAAAGGAAAAUAAAUCAUUCUACCAUAGACAUGCACACAUAGAUUCAUCACAGCACUAUUCAAAAUAUUAAUAGCAAAGACAUUGAGUUUUUAGGUAUUUAGGUUGCUAAAUACCCAUCAGUGGUAGACUGGAUAAAAGAAAAUGUGGUACAUAUACAUUAUGGAAUACUUUUCAGCCAUAAAAAAAGAGAUCAUGCCCUUUGCAGCAACAUGGAUAGAGCUGGAGGCCAUGGAUGGAGUUGGAGCAAAUUAAUAAGGAUCAGAAAACUAACACCACAUGUUCUCACUUACAACCUCUUCAUAUGGUCCACAAAGUUAUCUUCCUAAAACAAACAUGAUCAUGUGCCCACUGACCAGCUCCUAGAGCAGUAACAAGCAAAAGGGGUCUAUUGGGGGAAAUAGGGGAGGGACAGCGGGUAGGGGGAGCUGGGGAGGGAUAGCAUGGGGAGAAAUGCCAGAUGUGGGUGAAGGGGAGGAAGACAGCAAAUCACACUGCCACGUGUGUACCUAUGCAACUAUCUUGCAUGUUCUGCACAUGUACCCCAAAACCUAAAAUGCAAUAAAAAAAGUUUUCAUAACAA